AAUUAAUUAAAAUAAUUAUAUCUUCCAUCCAAACCCUAUAUAUUUUAUUCUUAUCAGAAAACCCUAAUCAAUAUAUUGAAACCCUAUUUUCUCAAUUAUGGCAUCUACCCAAACUAACGAAAAUCAAAAUCAAAAUCAAAAAUCAAACGUAAGUAUGAUCUAUCCUUUCAUCCAUUCAUUAGCUAGUGUAAUUCUCUGAGUAUUUCAUGGCAUCGUCAUUUUUUUUAUUU
rnacentral:sRNA from 1 species